UUUUUGGUUUUGCUGUAAAUAAAUUUUGUUUGGCCCCAAAGUUUUUGAUAAAUCACUGCAACGGAAAGUUUGUCCCAAACUGCAGCGGGAAAAUUGUGCCCUCAAGGGCCACGCCCCACUGGCCACGGGGGAACCCCACAGCCCUAAAAUCCGAAAUAAAAAAAGUUUAUUUCGAACUGCAUUCGUCCAAGGCAAGUUUGAAAGCUGCUAAAUUGCACAGUGGUUGGAAGUUAUCGGAAACUACGAACUUGAAAGCAACUACUACAUGUAUUUUCGCUCUCUUGCUAAUUAAUUUUUUAUGGAUUUAUAAUUAAUCUGGAGAUAUUGAAAAUUUAAUAAUUAUAGCACCGUUUUCUAAUACAAUUUGUCACACUGCAACUUAAACUGAAAUCUGGCAUAUAACAAACUAGCAACAACUUUAGGGACUCCCCACCCACCCACACACACACAGAGUAUCCUAGAGGGGGGAUUCACACAGACAAUGGCUGAGCGCACGUAGCAAAUGCAAACUGACUCCCCCGCUCCAACCCCUCCCCCCUUUUUAGCUGUAACCACCAACUCCCCAGCCCACAAGGCCACCCGUCGAACUAACACUCAACUAAGCAGAUUUGUGAUGGCGCGUCGCAUGAAUAAUUUGCCAAAUUAAUAAAUAAUCACGGAUUUUCUGGUUUGUUAGCUUUCCUUUUUUUUUUUUUGUUUCGUAAAUCCGGUAGUAGUCCCACGGCCACGCCCCCCAUCGCACUGGCGCCCUAAUUCAAAUGCUAAGCGCCAUGAAUUUUGCUCCCCAAUGAGCACAAAUUGGUUUCGCUCGCAUCUCAUCUUUUGUUUUUUGCCAUUUUUUGUGUGACGGCCAUGGCCAUGCGAAAUAUUGUGAAUGUCGAAUAUUGACUACCUCCGCGCUGUCCGUUGCCAUGGAAUAUUAAGUGGCUCGAUGGGAUGGGAAACAUUUUGAUCAGCCACGCAUAAAGUUCUGCCACAUCUAAUGGAUUGUCUGAUAUUUCCAUUUGCCCCCUCGUGCCGCUGGGGAAAAAGCACUGGAUGAAGCAUUUCACUUCUAUGCCACUUGGUAAUCGAAUUGAAUUUACAUGCGAGAUUUUUUUUUUUGGUUCGGUUUUGGUUUGCUGCGCUGCGCUGCAAACAAUUGCAAAUUAAAUAUAAAUUUGGGUUUCCCGUGGGGCAACGUGGUAACGUAGAAAUGUUCUCUUGGUCAGAAUCCAUUUUGGUUGAGUUCAGUUCAUUAUUGAAAUUGUCGAUUUUUUUAAAUAUAUAAUUUAUUUAUUCCAUUAAUAUUGCUGUACUGGAUAAUUAAGAUUUUCAACAAUCGUUUGAAUAUUAUUUAAGGUGUAUAUAUUUUGUUAACUAUUGAAGAGAACUACAUAUUUGUGUUUUAAAAACUUCAUAUCGAUGUAUGAACAACCUCAAUAAUUUACCAAAGUACACAUUUUCUACAGAAAAUAAAAUGGCAAAUGCUCACCACACCACUUGAUUCGGAUUAAUUUCGGGCCAUUUUGCUGGCAUUUCAGCACUCUCAGUGCUUCAUUUCGAUGACUGCAAUUAAAAUGGCAAUUAAGAAAAUUCUACUUCCGCAACAGAAGCUUUCCACUCCCACACACACACACACACACACACACACACAUAGAGAGAAUCACUCAAAUUACCCAUACGCAUUGUAGGACACUCACAAACACUCUACCAUAUUAACGGAAAUUAAUUUCAGUGUUUCAUCCGCUCGCAUUUUCUUCUUUUUAUUUUCUUUUUCUGCCGUACUUUUACUCAUGUGCUCGUUUUCCUUUGCCGCCUUUCUUUACUUUUUGUUUCUAUAACAAUGCUCUUCGCCGAGCAUAGUUUUUUUCCUUUGUUUUUGUAUAAUUCCCGCUCUCCGUUUGCAGCUGAUGUUCAUUUCCCUGUGAAUGCACAGCGUGCGGAUGAAUGGGAAUGGAAAUGGGGGAGUGGAAAUGGAAAUAUGGAAAACUCUGGGCCAAAGUCAAAGUGAAAGGAGAUGAGGAACAGCAGGCAUUCAAUGAGUUUUUGCUCCUUUUCCUGCAUUCAAGGCAUCAUCAUAUGCCUGAAUGACUGACUGACUGAGUAAAUGAAUGAAUGAUGGAAUGAAUGCGUGAUUGAGGGCCUCUAAAUGGAAGCGUACCAGUUCUCUCUGAUUGACGGGCCAAAGGAAAUGCUUAAAAAUGCAUAUGAUAAUUUGUAAUUGUUUUUAAUUUUCCCCAUCCUUGGACUCCUCGAAAUUGUUUCCACGAAAAAUCCAUUGUAUAAUUAUCGAGUUUAUUGCUGUUAUGGCUUCGUGCCCAUAAACUCCACAUUUACCCCCUAUUGUUUUUGAUUCCUCAACGAGCCUCAUUCAAUUAUUCAUUUAAUUCUUUGGAAGCGGCCAUUACACGACUGAAACUUCAACUUCAGUGCAAUCAACUCGACAGUUCGUCAAUCGUUCUAAAGUAAACCAAAGCAAGUUAGGGGGUUUAUAUGCCAUUAUUUGUAAGAAAUUUGCCGUUACGCUAAGGAAUUAUCGUUAUUUGAUUUUUAAAGAAUUUAAAGGCAUUGUUAGUCUGUUUUCAAGUUAUUGGUUUUCAGUUUCAAAGAGCCAUAUUAAAAAAGGCUUUUAAGGGCCAUCGUUUGAUUCCACAUGACAACCGCACUUUCGGAAACCUGUCAAAGGCUAAACAAUACACCAUCAUUAUGGGGUUCCCCCGUUUUCAAGCCGAAUUCCACCCCAGUUUCACCAAAUUCUCCCCCGCGCCUUUUCACAACGAGCAAUGUUCAUGUCUGAAAAUGCAAAUUGCAGACAAUCAAUGACCACAGGCAACAAAGGGCCAGCCAGCCGCUUUUUCUUUUUUAUUGAAAUAUUACCUUCGAGUCGGCUGCACUUUGAACUUCCCACCCACGCAGAAGACUGCUGCAAAAUGUCAAGUGUCAGCGCGAAUGUUGGCCAGUUUUUGUGGGCCGCCGCCAAAUGUCAGGAUGCGUGGCACGUGCGGCAAUUGCCGCAGUUGCUCCACCCAGCAGCAACAUCACCACCAGCGGCUGGAACUGAAAAAGCAGCAGUGGCUUGUCACUUGCAGUUAAGUUCCAUAAUUUGCCAGACCAAGCCAACAACUCGGAGCCCAAUGCCCCAUUGCAUUAGCCACAGGCAGCUGUUGUGGCAGCUGCUGCCAUUCCAGGGAGACCGCAGCUUUAAGGAUGCACAGAACACUUGGUUCUAUGCUAUUGCAACGAGCUCGCAACAGUUUCAUUUUAAAUGCCCAUUAAAAUAAAUGGUAAUUUGUGAGUGGCUGAUAUCAGUAUCUAAUUAUCAAGCACGUUUAAUUAUAUCUAACUGCUUCAAAAGUUACUCGCUCAGGUGUCUAAAAGUACGCAAUGAAAAGUUAUGACGUUUUGGUAUUUCUAUUUAGCACUCUGUUUGUGAUUUUAAUUGCUUAAGGGGCAUUUAAUUUAAGUGACAUGAAUUAACUAUAAAUAUCUUUAGUGGAAAGAUAGGUUUUAUUUCCAUCUCUCCCACGCUUGCCUCGCUUCCUUUUAGUUUGUUUUGCUGGGUGGGAUCGAAGCCUCAUGUUUUUGGUCACUUGGUUAAGGCCUGUCCAGGCGGAGACGGUUGUUGUGGCCUUCGUCCCCCUUGUUUUUGGCCAGCCAGCCAGGCAGGCAACCAGCCGGCCAUCGGGGCGUAUGCGUGAUCUGGGCGGUAUCCUUUGUCCUGUUCUCGCCGUAGUUUCGUUGCCUGUUUAUUUGCAUUGUUCGCAGGACACUGUCGCUGUGUCCUUGUGCUGGUAAUGUUGGCGUGUGGCACUUGUGCACUUUGUCACUUUUGUUUUAACGCUUACGCUUUAUUGAGUUAAUCGCUUUAUGUCCGGCAUUUCUCUCCGCUGUUUGCCUUUCUGCACUUUUGCCAGCUCAGCACUUUUAAUUAAUCCAGCAGCCCGAGAUAGUUUCUCCUGCUUUUCCCGCUUUUUCCCGCUUUUCCAACUUUUCCUGCUUUUCCCUACCUGCAUUGCUAUUACAGCUGCUUCCCUCGCUGGUUUAAUCGCUACGCCUUUUCGUUAUUUGUCCCCUUUUUGGUAAAUAAAGUUUAAUGUGUUUUCAUUGAUUACAUCAGUGCGUAUGUACGCCUCCAUUUUCCUCUCUCUCUGUGGUCAUUAUAUAAAUAUACGCGUGUACCCCAAUAAAGCUCUCUUUUUUCCCCUUUGGCCAGCUGGAAUUUUGAUUGAGCAUGUUUGUUGAUUUAUGUGCGCCAGUUGUGGAAUUUAUAUGCGGUCAUUGUGAAGUCCGGUAGAAAAAA
rnacentral:tRNA from 13 species